CCUACGGGGGGCAGCAGUGGGGAAUAUUGGACAAUGGGCGAAAGCCUGAUCCAGCCAUGCCGCGUGUGUGAAGAAGGCCUUCGGGUUGUAAAGCACUUUCAGUGGGGAAGAAAGCCUUGGGGCUAAUACCCUCGAGGAAGGACAUCACCCACAGAAGAAGCACCGGCUAACUCCGUGCCAGCAGCCGCGGUAAUACGGAGGGUGCGAGCGUUAAUCGGAAUUACUGGGCGUAAAGCGCGCGUAGGCGGUCUGAUAAGCCGGUUGGGAAAGCCCCGGGCUCAACCUGGGAACGGCAUCCGGAACUGUCAGGCUAGAGGGCAGGAGAGGAAGGUAGAAUUCCCGGUGUAGCGGUGAAAUGCGUAGAGAUCGGGAGGAAUACCAGUGGCGAAGGCGGCCUUCUGGACUGACACUGACGCUGAGGUGCGAAAGCGUGGGUAGCAAACAGGAUUAGAUACCCUGUAGUC
rnacentral:rRNA from 1 species